UCGAACGGAGCCUUAACCAAAGAAGCAGCCAGCUUGCUGGAAGCCGAAAAGGGAAAGGCUUAGUGGCGGACGGGUGAGUAACGCGUGGGUAACCUGGCCCAUACAGGGGGAUAACACUUAGAAAUAGGUGCUAAUACCGCAUAACAACAGAAAGCGCAUGCUUUUUGUUUGAAAACCAAGGUGGUAUGGGAUGGACCCGCGUCUGAUUAGCUGGUUGGCGGGGUAAAGGCCCACCAAGGCGACGAUCAGUAGCCGGCCUGAGAGGGUGGACGGCCACAUUGGGACUGAGACACGGCCCAAACUUAUACGGGAGGCAGCAGUGGGGAAUAUUGCACAAUGGGGGAAACCCUGAUGCAGCGACGCCGCGUGAGUGAAGAAGUAAUUCGUUAUGUAAAGCUCUAUCAGCAGGGAAGAAAAUGACGGUACCUGAGUAAGAAGCCCCGGCUAACUACGUGCCAGCAGCCGCGGUAAUACGUAGGGGGCAAGCGUUAUCCGGAUUUACUGGGUGUAAAGGGAGCGUAGACGGCAGUGCAAGUCUGGAGUGAAAGGCGGGGGCUCAACCCCCGGACUGCUCUGGAAACUGUACGGCUGGAGUGCAGGAGAGGUAAGUGGAAUUCCUAGUGUAGCGGUGAAAUGCGUAGAUAUUAGGAGGAACACCAGUGGCGAAGGCGGCUUACUGGACUGUAACUGACGUUGAGGCUCGAAAGCGUGGGGAGCAAACAGGAUUAGAUACCCUGGUAGUC
rnacentral:rRNA from 1 species